rnacentral:rRNA from 1 species
AUUGAACGCUGGCGGCAGGCCUAACACAUGCAAGUCGAACGGUAACAGGAAGAAGCUUGCUUCUUUGCUGACGAGUGGCGGACGGGUGAGUAAUGUCUGGGAAACUGCCUGAUGGAGGGGGAUAACUACUGGAAACGGUAGCUAAUACCGCAUAACGUCGCAAGACCAAAGAGGGGGACCUUCGGGCCUCUUGCCAUCGGAUGUGCCCAGAUGGGAUUAGCUAGUAGGUGGGGUAACGGCUCACCUAGGCGACGAUCCCUAGCUGGUCUGAGAGGAUGACCAGCCACACUGGAACUGAGACACGGUCCAGACUCCUAAGGGAGGCAGCAGUGGGGAAUAUUGCACAAUGGGCGCAAGCCUGAUGCAGCCAUGCCGCGUGGAUGAAGAAGGCCUUCGGGUUGUAAAGUACUUUCAGCGGGGAGGAAGGGAGUAAAGUUAAUACCUUUGCUCAUUGACGUUACCCGCAGAAGAAGCACCGGCUAACUCCGUG